GCCGAAGUGGUGGAACUGGUAGACACGCUAUCUUGAGGGGGUAGUGGACAACUGUCCGUGGAGGUUCGAAUCCUCUCUUCGGCACCA
rnacentral:tRNA from 2 species